UACACCACCCCCAAGAGGAGGCAGCAACUCGCCCGUCGACGUGAGGGCAGCGAGAGGGCAGCGGCGACAGCGCAGGUUACUGGGCAUGCUCAGUUCGGGUGCGCAUGCUCAGUGCAGCCCAAGUAGCGACCCUGGAGCGAUCAUCCCAUCCCCUUGAGAGACGGGGAAGGGAAAUGGCUGCAGCGGAGCUGGUGACCUUCAAGGAGGUGGCUGUGUAUUUCACUGAGGAGGAAUGGGCUCUGCUGGACCCAGGUCAGAGAUCCCUCUACAGGGACGUCAUGUGGGAGAAUUAGGAGACUGUGACCUCACUGGAUGGAAGCUCCCUUUGUACCAAAGUGCAAAGACCCUGGCGACACGAGUAACUUUGACAACUAUGAGGAGGAGGAGAUCCGGGUCUCAACCACUGAGGAGUACGCCAUGGAGUUUUCUGAGUUCUAGGACCAGCGGCCCCCCCAAGAAGGGUGCAUGCGGAGUGGGGGGGAGUUGGAUUUUGGUUUCAUAGAUAAAUUAAAUCUAUAUAGCCCUGUGGCUAGGUCUCCCCCCCCCCCAAAUCCCCCCUUUCCACAAAGAAGCUUGAGAGUCCCAUCUAGAGGGUGAGGAUAUCAUCCACCCCGCCCUGGGAAACACGUCUGUGUCCUCCAACAACACUUGUUUCACUGGAAAAAAACAAAAGAACCCCCCACCCCCACUUCCUACUUAACAGUGUGCUUUGUU